UACGUAGGUGGCAAGCGUUGUCCGGAAUCAUUGGGCGUAAAGAGCGUGUAGGCGGCCCGAUAAGUCCGCUGUGAAAGUCGAGGGCUCAACCCUCGAAUGCCGGCGGAUACUGUCGGGCUAGAGUCCGGAAGAGGCGAGUGGAAUUCCUGGUGUAGCGGUGAAAUGCGCAGAUAUCAGGAGGAACACCGAUGGCGAAGGCAGCUCGCUGGGACGGUACUGACGCUGAGACGCGAAAGCGUGGGGAGCAAACAGG
rnacentral:rRNA from 1 species